GAAGCCACAUGCAGGUCGAGGUGAAGUAAACGCCAGCGUAGUGGAUGUCGGCACUGAGAAGUUAUGUUCAUAAUUUCGGAUCACGCCGAGUUAUAUUACCCCGUGACGUAUUGCAAUCAACAGAAGAAAUCUCCCUUUGGAUCCUGUAAAGAUGUCUCCACCUGCUAAAACCCAGGGCUCCAUGUUGGACUGCAUCAUCCAGCCACCCCUCGCCCAUUCUCCACUUGUUCAUUCACCAUCCUUCGAGAGACAUUUCCAUUGAAUCAUUGCAAACCGAAACCAACCUGACUUCUGGAAGAAUGUGAAAAGAAGUAGCCAGCACCUGGUGACACAACUCCAGUACUAACAAGACACUUUAACCCAAACUAAGAGAGACAAAUGAAUGAUGAAGCCAAAAAUCUACGCAUCAGUAGGGUGCCGCCAGAUCACUGUGCCGUCGUUCCACCUCUGAACACUCAAACGGAAUUGAGGGGAGCCAAGAGGAACCGGAACAAUUUGGCCUGAUAGCACACCCUCUGCUCAACAUUGCUAAGCGACCACCGUGAACUCAAUUUUGUGAGCCUUCCCUUACCUAGAGGCUAGAGCUAGGAACAGUUGGUGUAUUCGGAUCUGGCUACUUCCCUCUGGACCAGUGCUGGAUCUGGCUGAAUCGAGUGAUGUAUUGUGUCCAAGCACAUAGACAGACAUAAAGGCUGAUGAAAAAAAUAACACACAGAGAGACAGACACUGACAGAAACGGAAACAAGAAGACAGGCCAAACUGGAACCAGUGUUUUCUAAUGGACACGUCAGACUUUGCCCUUUAUUGCUGAAUCUGUGUAAACAAACUGGACCUCUAUCUCCCCAUGUUAGAGGAAUAUGUUUGUAUGUGUCAUUGCGUGUAAAAAGUUGGCAAUCAGCCUUCAAACUGCCUCUUUCACACCUCUCUGCCAUCCUGUUUGAAUAUGCAAAUGUUGGUGUAAAAAACAAGAGAAAAAGACUGGUGCUGGUACAGUUGUUGUCUCCGAAAUAACUGUGGCUCACAAGCUGUGUUUAACCACCAGCAAGACAUAAUGUGACAUUUCACAGGCAACCAAACAUACAGGAAGGAUUCUGACCUUUCGAGGUUCAAAUGUACUAAUCAAAUUGAUACCUGCAUACACACUCACACACACAGUCGUGAUGGCUUUCACACAGGUUUUACUUCUGUGUGAUCUCCAAGUGGCAUGGUCAUUAUUCUGAUUCUACUAGAAAAUGAGCAUCAAAUAACCUAAUAUGUUAUAUUAUUUUAUGUUCUCCAUUAGUUUCGGGGGGUUUUCUUUGUAAUGCAGAAACAAAUAUACCAUGUUUUAUUAGAAAUAAUAAUUAUGUGUGUAUGAGAAUGAAAAUAUAUGAGAAAAAAAUAUAGGGGAAUGUGGGGGAGAACAGUGUUGGGCAAAUGAGACAAUGAGUGUUUGUGACAGAUUGUAAUAAUGGAUGUGAGAGAGCAUAGUGUGAAAUACAUUUGUUUUAAUUAAAGAAACGUCAUUUUGUAGGAA